UGCCAGAUCGUCUAAUGGUAGGACCUCUGCCUCUGGAGCAGAGUAUCUUGGUUCGAAUCCAAGUCUGGCAG
rnacentral:tRNA from 2 species